rnacentral:rRNA from 1 species
GAGCUAAUACCGGAUAAUGUCUUCGGAACCAAAGAUUUAUCGCCUUUAGAUGGGCCCGCGUUGGAUUAGCUAGUUGGUGGGGGUAAAGGCCUACCAAGGCGACGAUCCAUAGCUGGUCUGAGAGGAUGAUCAGCCACACUGGGACUGAGACACGGCCCAGACUCCUACGGGAGGCAGCAGUGGGGAAUAUUGGACAAUGGGCGCAAGCCUGAUCCAGCCAUGCCGCGUGAGUGAUGAAGGCCCUAGGGUUGUAAAGCUCUUUCACCGGUGAAGAUAAUGACGGUAACCGGAGAAGAAGCCCCGGCUAACUUCGUG